GACGAACGCUGGCGGCGUGCUUAACACAUGCAAGUCGAACGGAAAGGCCCUGCUUUUGUGGGGUGCUCGAGUGGCGAACGGGUGAGUAACACGUGAGUAACCUGCCCUUGACUUUGGGAUAACUUCAGGAAACUGGGGCUAAUACCGGAUAGGAGCUCCUGCUGCAUGGUGGGGGUUGGAAAGUUUCGGCGGGUGGGGAUGGACUCGCGGCUUAUCAGCUUGUUGGUGGGGUAGUGGCUUACCAAGGCAUUGACGGGUAGCCGGCCUGAGAGGGUGACCGGCCACAUUGGGACUGAGAUACGGCCCAGACUCCUACGGGAGGCAGCAGUGGGGAAUAUUGCACAAUGGGCGGAAGCCUGAUGCAGCAACGCCGCGUGCGGGAUGACGGCCUUCGGGUUGUAAACCGCUUUCGGCUGUGACGAAGCGUGAGUGACGGUAAUGGGUAAAGAAGCACCGGCUAACUACGUG
rnacentral:rRNA from 1 species